AAAAGAAAAAAGAUCUAUAAAGCAAGCAAAUUGUUCACAUAACUAAUAAUACUACGGUCUACAUUGUAAUUAGUGAGAGCAAAGGGAGGGAGAGUAGAAGACAAAGAAGAAGAAGAAAAGCUAUUGAACCCUCUCAUGUGUAUAGUUAAAAAUAAUAAUAAGUUGCACAUGUCUUACACUGAUCACAGUGCCUAUCUUGUCUAGUAGUGAUAAAUUUGUUUAUACAAGUUUUUUUUAAAGUAUAAUUAGGAAAGUAAAAAAAAA